rnacentral:lncRNA from 1 species
GGGCCCUUUAUAGCUUGACAUUUGUGUUGAAGACCAUACCUUGACCUAUAUUGGUUUACUUUUACAAAUUAUGACUUGGAUGAGAGUCCUCUCAUUGGCACUCAUACCACAUCUUCUCAUAUCUACAGAUUGGAACCAAAUAAGGGUAAUCAUCCUCAUCUUCUACCUUCUAAAAUAUAAAGUCUGUUGCUAAUUAAUAACGGC